UUGGUGAUGAUAAGAACUAAGAUGUGGCCAUGGAAGUGGCUGUUCAUUUGAUGUAGGGAUAUUAGUAUGGAUGGAGUGAAAAAAAAAACUGAACAGCCUAGACUUGGGAAGGCACUGAAGAAGUCUGAGUUGGUAUCAGGGUAAACCUAGCCUCACACAAUGAGUAGAGAAGUAAGUAUUCCUACCUCCAACAUUUUUGGCAAGAGUAUAUGACAAAUCCAGAUCCUGCUAUAUCCAUAAAUAUAUAGCUGAAAGUAAGUUGAAAUCACAGUGCAAUAUCAUUUUAUUUGAAAUAAGCUGAC